AGCCCAGAGCCUGAAUCAGUGUGUGUGUUAGUGGAAGCGUCUGGAAAGGCGCGCGAUACAGGGUGACAGCCCCGUACACAAAAAUGCACAUGCUGUGAGCUCGAUGAGUAGGGCGGGACACGUGGUAUCCUGUCUGAAUAUGGGGGGACCAUCCUCCAAGGCUAAAUACUCCUGACUGACCGAUAGUGAACCAGUACCGUGAGGGAAAGGCGAAAAGAACCCCGGCGAGGGGAGUGAAAAAGAACCUGAAACCGUGUACGUACAAGCAGUGGGAGCCUCUUUUAUGGGGUGACUGCGUACCUUUUGUAUAAUGGGUCAGCGACUUAUAUUCUGUAGCAAGGUUAACCGAAUAGGGGAGCCGAAGGGAAACCGAGUCUUAACUGGGCGUUAAGUUGCAGGGUAUAGACCCGAAACCCGGUGAUCUAGCCAUGGGCAGGUUGAAGGUUGGGUAACACUAACUGGAGGACCGAACCGACUAAUGUUGAAAAAUUAGCGGAUGACUUGUGGCUGGGGGUGAAAGGCCAAUCAAACCGGGAGAUAGCUGGUUCUCCCCGAAAGCUAUUUAGGUAGCGCCUCGUGAAUUCAUCUCCGGGGGUAGAGCACUGUUUCGGCAAGGGGGUCAUCCCGACUUACCAACCCGAUGCAAACUGCGAAUACCGGAGAAUGUUAUCACGGGAGACACACGGCGGGUGCUAACGUCCGUCGUGAAGAGGGAAACAACCCAGACCGCCAGCUAAGGUCCCAAAGUCAUGGUUAAGUGGGAAACGAUGUGGGAAGGCCCAGACAGCCAGGAUGUUGGCUUAGAAGCAGCCAUCAUUUAAAGAAAGCGUAAUAGCUCACUGGUCGAGUCGGCCUGCGCGGAAGAUGUAACGGGGCUAAACCAUGCACCGAAGCUGCGGCAGCGACGCUUAUGCGUUGUUGGGUAGGGGAGCGUUCUGUAAGCCUGCGAAGGUGUACUGUGAGGUAUGCUGGAGGUAUCAGAAGUGCGAAUGCUGACAUAAGUAACGAUAAAGCGGGUGAAAAGCCCGCUCGCCGGAAGACCAAGGGUUCCUGUCCAACGUUAAUCGGGGCAGGGUGAGUCGACCCCUAAGGCGAGGCCGAAAGGCGUAGUCGAUGGGAAACAGGUUAAUAUUCCUGUACUUGGUGUUACUGCGAAGGGGGGACGGAGAAGGCUAUGUUGGCCGGGCGACGGUUGUCCCGGUUUAAGCGUGUAGGCUGGUUUUCCAGGCAAAUCCGGAAAAUCAAGGCUGAGGCGUGAUGACGAGGCACUACGGUGCUGAAGCAACAAAUGCCCUGCUUCCAGGAAAAGCCUCUAAGCAUCAGGUAACAUCAAAUCGUACCCCAAACCGACACAGGUGGUCAGGUAGAGAAUACCAAGGCGCUUGAGAGAACUCGGGUGAAGGAACUAGGCAAAAUGGUGCCGUAACUUCGGGAGAAGGCACGCUGAUAUGUAGGUGAAGUCCCUCGCGGAUGGAGCUGAAAUCAGUCGAAGAUACCAGCUGGCUGCAACUGUUUAUUAAAAACACAGCACUGUGCAAACACGAAAGUGGACGUAUACGGUGUGACGCCUGCCCGGUGCCGGAAGGUUAAUUGAUGGGGUUAGCGCAAGCGAAGCUCUUGAUCGAAGCCCCGGUAAACGGCGGCCGUAACUAUAACGGUCCUAAGGUAGCGAAAUUCCUUGUCGGGUAAGUUCCGACCUGCACGAAUGGCGUAAUGAUGGCCAGGCUGUCUCCACCCGAGACUCAGUGAAAUUGAACUCGCUGUGAAGAUGCAGUGUACCCGCGGCAAGACGGAAAGACCCCGUGAACCUUUACUAUAGCUUGACACUGAACAUUGAGCCUUGAUGUGUAGGAUAGGUGGGAGGCUUUGAAGUGUGGACGCCAGUCUGCAUGGAGCCGACCUUGAAAUACCACCCUUUAAUGUUUGAUGUUCUAACGUUGACCCGUAAUCCGGGUUGCGGACAGUGUCUGGUGGGUAGUUUGACUGGGGCGGUCUCCUCCUAAAGAGUAACGGAGGAGCACGAAGGUUGGCUAAUCCUGGUCGGACAUCAGGAGGUUAGUGCAAUGGCAUAAGCCAGCUUGACUGCGAGCGUGACGGCGCGAGCAGGUGCGAAAGCAGGUCAUAGUGAUCCGGUGGUUCUGAAUGGAAGGGCCAUCGCUCAACGGAUAAAAGGUACUCCGGGGAUAACAGGCUGAUACCGCCCAAGAGUUCAUAUCGACGGCGGUGUUUGGCACCUCGAUGUCGGCUCAUCACAUCCUGGGGCUGAAGUAGGUCCCAAGGGUAUGGCUGUUCGCCAUUUAAAGUGGUACGCGAGCUGGGUUUAGAACGUCGUGAGACAGUUCGGUCCCUAUCUGCCGUGGGCGCUGGAGAACUGAGGGGGGCUGCUCCUAGUACGAGAGGACCGGAGUGGACGCAUCACUGGUGUUCGGGUUGUCAUGCCAAUGGCACUGCCCGGUAGCUAAAUGCGGAAGAGAUAAGUGCUGAAAGCAUCUAAGCACGAAACUUGCCCCGAGAUGAGUUCUCCCUGACUCCUUGAGAGUCCUGAAGGAACGUUGAAGACGACGACGUUGAUAGGCCGGGUGUGUAAGCGCAGCGAUGCGUUGAGCUAACCGGUACUAAUGAACCGUGAGGCUUAACCUU
rnacentral:rRNA from 1 species